UGCUUCUAACUUUCCAAUAAGGUAUCUUUUUGGGCUGAAAGUUUCCGUGCUUAGUUUCAGCUCAAAGGUGAAUUUAUUCUGGAAAGUUCACAC
rnacentral:pre_miRNA from 9 species